rnacentral:lncRNA from 1 species
UUUAUUGUAGGAUGGAGUGAUUUCUAAAAAAUUUACUAAUUACUAAAAUUAACUUUGAUCUUUUCAAAAUCACUUUUGAGCCUCCCAAAAGCAAUACCAAAUAGACCCUUAGUUGCAUUACCUUUUCAUGCCCAAGUGAUAAGUCUUUCAUGGUUGAGGUAACUGCAGCUUCAGAUUGAAGUUCAAGCGGAUUUUUUAUCAAUUAAUUUCUUUUCUGCAACAAUAUCCAAUUUACAUGUCGCCCCGAGAGUCCACCAUAGUAAAAUUUAUUCUCCGGUAUGAGUCCCGACCUUUCUCCGCAAGCAUAAGCUGCAAAGUACAAUUUAGAAUUAAUAUAAAUAAUUCUCAGAUUCAAAACCUUACUUCAUUUUUCAAGUUGAACAUUCUUAUUUUUUCAAGUUCGACAUUACACUUAGGUCCUUAAUGUUUCUCAUCUUCCCUGCUUUGAUCCCUAUGUUUUUAAUUAUCUUUUACAUUCUCGACAUUGUAAUUAAUUUUAACCCCGACACUUUAAUGCAAUAAAACUUUAAGAGGAAAUUUCGUAAGCCUCAGUUUGAUGAAAUUCAUAUCAUACACGCUUCACUUCUUAUGUACAAGCAAAGAAUAUAGGUGAUAAAUACAAUAAAAAAGUGACCUUUAACAUAUAAAACUCAUUUAACCUUUUUGCAAGCACUUCAUAUUAGCUUAUUACAAUAAUACACUAGUAACAGAAUUCAACAAGUGCGUGUUUCGAUUUUUUUUGUUACCGUUUAAUGUUUAGGAUAUGCAAUGGGUAAUUGAAAAAAUAAUAGGGACUGAAUGAUAAAAAUAAAAAAUGUUAGACAUCUAAGUGUCACUCUCUAGUUAAAUUAUACACAUACACUAAUUAUAGUUUAAUGACAACCCAAUUCUUUCCUCACCAUUGUCAGUGGAGUUUGAACCCCAAAUUUCUUAUUUCUACUAAAAGGCUCUAGGCUAAUAGUUGAGUUACUGACUUUUGAUAGCAGCAAAUACUAGGUUUUUAUUGUGAAUCAAGAUUGAUGAAAUUUUUUAUGUUGUGAGACUUUAAUGUUAUCUCGAGAAGAGCUUGUACUGUAAUCCCAUUAAUUAUAUAGCAAAAGUUUCUAUCAGACUACAGUCCCAUGGUUUUUUCCGAUUUCAAAAUAUUUGUCCCUUGUAGUUGAUUUAUUGCCUUUGAUUGUGUUGAUUUAAUUUUUACUUAUGGAUACAUCUUGUUUAAAUCAUACAAAGAGGAAAAAGAAUUAGUUUUUGCUAGACUUGCAGCUGCUUGUAUGUGUUCCUUUCCCAACAAAAAAUUAAUUCAUUUUUGUAUCUCAACAAUUACUUUUUUUUUUCAAUUAUUGUGACGGUGUUAAGCAAGUUUAUGUCAGUGAUCAUUAAUUUAUUUGUUCGUUUUACAAAUUUAUAAAACUUUGUGACACCAGCGAAUAUGUGACUAAUGGUGUUGAUUUACUUGUUUUCUAAAAUCCAAUGAGCAUUAUUUAUAAAAUAGUAAUACUAAUAAUAAUACUAAUGAUGAUGAUGAUGAUGAUGAUGAUGAUGAUGAUAACCGUUUGGCGGUAAAUUUAGAAUGAUAUUUUUAGACUAAUAAACGAUGCCAUGUGGACAAUUACAAAGGCAAAAUGGGCACAAUACUUGGAGCAAUAUAAAUAUCCCAUUUGAAACAAUUUACUCUAUUGGAUAGGCUUGAAAAUCAAUGGCCAACGUUGGGCACAACAAGAUAUUUAGGAGAAAUAAUAAACCUAGUAUAAAAAGAAUAUUCUUAUCAUUUUUCCUUAAAUAUGACACAUAGCCCUAAAGACAUCCUCUCUUUUUAACCUAAAGAUGACAUCAAGCCCUAAUUUUAUACACUCUCCUUACCAUUUGCCUCUACUAUAUAAAUGUCUUAUUUACCCAUAUCAGGGCAUGCUCUCUUAUGCUAUCAUCUCCUUGCCUCCUCUCCUCUCCUCUUCUCUCUCUCACACACUCUCUCUUUUCAUCUUUUAGAUCAUCACCCACUUCUCCAUUUUAAGGAGGCCAACUCUAUUCUCCACCUUCGCUAUCUUCUUCACCAUACUAUCACUCUCCAUAUCUUUAUUCAUAAUCUUCAUCUUUAUCAAGACCAAACAUCUCUAUAUAUCUAUCUAGUUUAUAUUAUUCAUAUUGUAUAAUAUAAAAUCUUAUGUAACCUUUGAUUUAUAUAGUGAAUUGCUGAUUACUUGCUUCCUUAAAUUAAGCCAAAAGGUAAACUACAUAAAUAUUGUGUGUUCUUUGUGUUUGUGUUUAUGUUUACUUUGAUAUAAGUUCAAUUUGAGAUCGAGAUCGUGUUCCAGUAUGUGCAUAUAUGGGAUACCCCAGUUACACUAGGUAUUCUGUGAGGCCACCUCAGCUAUCCCUUGAGUAUACCUGAGCUACACCUAAACACAUAUUAGCCCCCUAUAUAAAAUCUUACAGGGCUCCAUUGAGCUCUGUAAGAUUUUCCUUAUAUGACACCUCAGUUCACUUUGCAUAUUGCUUUAUCUCCCCACCUAAAGUAUCUUGGCUAAACCACCUAUCCAAAAUAAUAGAAAAACACACCUAAAUCUAAACUUAGCACAAGCUCCCCUCAAAUAUAAAUUUAAUUCUUUGAAUUAGAUUUGAGCUAAAUCCGGUGAGUACCACCUAAUUAGUUCAAAUCAAAUCCUAGCAAAAAU